UACGGAGGAUGCGAGCGUUAUCCGGAUUUAUUGGGUUUAAAGGGUGCGUAGGCGGUUUUUCAAGUCAGCGGUGAAACGCAAGGGCUCAACCCUUGACCUGCCGUUGAAACUGUUGGACUAGAAUGCGGAUGCUGUGGGAGGAAUGUGUGGUGUAGCGGUGAAAUGCAUAGAUAUCACACAGAACACCGAUUGCGAAGGCAUCUCACAAAUCCGUGAUUGACGCUGAGGCACGAAAGUGUGGGGAU
rnacentral:rRNA from 1 species